UCUCGUGGUCCGGGACCCCUCCCUCCUUACUGCCCAUCUGCUUGCUGCUUCCUACCGCUCGGCUUGCUGCUCCUUAGCGCUGCCGCGAAGGCCUUGGGUCUGCUGGGUGCCGGUCCUGCGGGUUUGUGUCUCUGAUACCCCCAGCAGCCCCAGCACCGCCUAAAUAACUUAAGGGAAACUUUACUUAGUCUUCUUUUAAAAGCAAUCUAGUUUAAAAAUUAGUUGCAGUUAAGAGAGAACAAAGAACAUGGUACCUAAGAGUGAGAUAGACAGACAGAGGAGAGGCUGGGCACUGGUCGGGGGCUUACAUGCCAACUGUUCUCCACCCGGGAAAUGAUGUAAAAUCGGUUUCUUUAGUUUUCUGCUCAAUGUGGGACUCCAGCACUGAGGUCAGAGGAGCCGCCUUACAGCCCCCAGGCUGCUUCUCGGAGUC